rnacentral:lncRNA from 1 species
UCAGGGUCUAUAGAAUAACGAGGCUGACAUCAACUGUUCCUUCUGGAGAAGACUCAGUUUCCACCAGUCAUUUUGUGUAUUCUGACCAGGUCUCAACUAGCUAUUUCCAAAGCCACUACUAUCAUCCUGAGUUUAUCUAGAAAAGAUGUUGACAUGCCUUCCAGCCCCUGUUGCUCACCAUCCUCUUUCAAGACUCUGAAUGGGAUUAUUUAAAGUAAUAAUGAAAAGCAAAACAGGAAAUUCUUAUCUGUUUUGGCAGGAAAUUCUUUAGCUGUGUGGAAGGUUCUGCCCUGGGGGUUUGUGCCCUCCAGGAACUGUUUUGCAAUGAUUUAUGGUCCAAGAUGGCGCCAGCCCUUCCUUGGCCCACGGGGUGAGAAAGGGAGGUAUAUGCUGGACCCUGGGAAGCAGGAUUUGCAUUAUCUUGAAAUGUACAUUUCUAUUGAUAACAUAUUCAUUGUCUCCACUCAUAAGUUAUGGUCCUGUUUUUGUCUUGUCCUGGAAUAAGGAGUAGCAAAUUCAGGCGAAGUUAAGAUGCUCCAUUUCAGGUUUGAAAAGCUUCAUUCUUUAGAAUGCAUUAAUUUAUGUGAAAUCCUAGGUAACAGAACAUAGAGGAGAAGCUGUUGUGAUAGACACUUUAUGUAGGUCGUGUUACGUUCUCUCACUACAGAUAUUAUUUUCUCCAUCUCACAAAUGUGGAAACUGAAGUUCACUGAAGUUAAGCAACCGGGUCUAAGUCACAUAAGGACUAAAGGGUGGAGCCGAGAGGAAAUGUGUUUUUUUGUUUUUUUAAAUUAUAUUUUAUGUUCUAGGGUACAUGUGCACAACGUGCAGGUUUGUAUUUAGGAAAUGUGUUUUCAAUAGACUCUGAGUGACCCUGAGGCCCAGGCCAGGCCAGCUUUGCUCCCCACUGUGUCCCCAACACCCGGCAGAGCGUGUGGAAUAUAGCAGGCACUUGAGAAACAGACUCUGGAUGAAAGGAUGAAGGUGUGGGAUCUGUUGGCUGCGGUGUCCUGUGGCUAGGCCUCCUUGUUCCUGUUCCCACGCGGUCUUCUGAUUAUUUCUAGUGUUCACCACACCGGAGAUGACAAAUUUCACAAAAAUGCUGAGAGACUGAUUGUUGGGUGUCCCUGAGAGCUAAUCUCUCUCUUUCUCUCUGUCUCUCUCUUUCUAAUUAUCUAUUGAGAGUUACAUCCUUCUACUGGUUCCACGACUUUGGGCUUUCAUCUCCUAUUCCUUUUUAUAAGAUUCCUAGCCGGGCGCAGUGGCUCACGUCUGUAAUCUCAGCACUUUGGGAGGCCGAGGCGGGUGGAUUACCUGAGGUCAGGAGUUCGAGACCAGCCUGGCCAACAUAGUGAAACCCCGUCUCUACUAAAAAUACAAAAAAAAAAAAAAUAGCUGUAAUCCCAACUACUAGGGAGGCUGAGGCAGGAGAAUCACUUGAACCCUGGAGGCGGAGGUCGCAGUGAGCCGAGCUAGCACCAUUGCACUCCAGCCUGGGUAACAAGAGUGAAACUCCAUCUCAAAAAAAAAAAAAAA